rnacentral:rRNA from 2 species
UACGUAGGUCACGAGCGUUGUCCGGAUUUAUUGGGCGUAAAGGGAGCGCAGGUGGUCUGUUAAGUCUGAUGUGAAAGCCCACGGCUCAACCGUGGAACUGCAUUGGAAACUGGCAGACUUGAGUGCAGAAGAGGAAAGUGGAAUUCCAUGUGUAGCGGUGAAAUGCGUAGAUAUAUGGAGGAACACCAGUGGCGAAGGCGACUUUCUGGUCUGUAACUGACACUGAGGCUCGAAAGCGUGGGGAGCAAACAGG